rnacentral:rRNA from 1 species
AGAAUCAACGCUGGCGGCGUGCCUAACACAUGCAAGUCGAACGAGAAAGGGACUUCGGUCCUGAGUAAAGUGGCGCACGGGUGAGUAACACGUGACUAACCUACCCUUGAGUGGGGGAUAACCUAGAGAAAUCUGGGCUAAUACCGCAUAAUACCUUCGGGUCAAAGGAGCAAUUCGCUUAAGGAGGGGGUCGCGGCCGAUUAGUUAGUUGGCGGGGUAAUGGCCCACCAAGACUAUGAUCGGUAUCCGGCCUGAGAGGGCGCACGGACACACUGGAACUGAAACACGGUCCAGACUCCUACGGGAGGCAGCAGUGGGGAAUUUUGCGCAAUGGGGAAACCCUGACGCAGCAACGCCGCGUGGAGGAUGAAGUCCCUUGGGACGUAAACUCCUUUCGAUCGGGACGAUAAUGACGGUACCGAGAGAAGAAGCCCCGGCUAACUUCGCGCCAGCAGCCGC